rnacentral:rRNA from 1 species
UGCGUAGGCGGCUGAUUAAGUCGGAUGUGAAAUCCCUGAGCUUAACUUAGGAAUUGCAUUCGAUACUGGUCAGCUAGAGUAUGGGAGAGGGUGGUGGAAUUUCCUGUGUAGCGGUGAAAUGCGUAGAUAUAGGAAGGAACACCAGUGGCGAAGGCGACCACCUGGACUGAUACUGACACUGAGGUGCGAAAGCGUGGGGAGCAAACA